CUUCGAUGGAUAGGGGUUCUGAGAGGAAGGUCCCCCACAUUGGAACUGAGACACGGUCCAAACUCCUACGGGAGGCAGCAGUGAGGAAUAUUGGUCAAUGGGCGAGAGCCUGAACCAGCCAAGUAGCGUGAAGGAUGACUGCCCUAUGGGUUGUAAACUUCUUUUAUAAAGGAAUAAAGUCGGGUAUGGAUACCCGUUUGCAUGUACUUUAUGAAUAAGGAUCGGCUAACUCCGUGCCAGCAGCCGCGGUAAUACGGAGGAUCCGAGCGUUAUCCGGAUUUAUUGGGUUUAAAGGGAGCGUAGAUGGAUGUUUAAGUCAGUUGUGAAAGUUUGCGGCUCAACCGUAAAAUUGCAGUUGAUACUGGAUAUCUUGAGUGCAGUUGAGGCAGGCGGAAUUCGUGGUGUAGCGGUGAAAUGCUUAGAUAUCACGAAGAACUCCGAUUGCGAAGGCAGCCUGCUAAGCUGCAACUGACAUUGAGGCUCGAAAGUGUGGGUAUCAAACAGGAUUAGAUACCCUGGUAGUCCACACGGUAAACGAUGAAUACUCGCUGUUUGCGAUAUACGGCAAGCGGCCAAGCGAAAGCGUUAAGUAUUCCACCUGGGGAGUACGCCGGCAACGGUGAAACUCAAAGGAAUUGACGGGG
rnacentral:rRNA from 1 species